ACGGAGGGUGCGAGCGUUAAUCGGAAUCACUGGGUGUAAAGGGCAUGUAGGCGGCCCUUCAAGUCGCAUGUGAAAGCCCUGGGCUCAACCCGGGAAGUGCACGCGAUACUGAGAGGCUUGAGGGCUGGAGAGGGGAGCGGAAUUCCCGGUGUAGUGGUAAAAUACGUAGAGAUCGGGAGGAACACCAGCGGCGCAGGCGGCUCACUAGACAGUUUCUGACGCUAAGAUACGAAAGCGUGGGGAGCAAACAG
rnacentral:rRNA from 1 species